rnacentral:rRNA from 1 species
CCUACGGGAGGCUGCAGUGAGGAAUAUUGGUCAAUGGACGAGAGUCUGAACCAGCCAAGUAGCGUGAAGGAUGACUGCCCUAUGGGUUGUAAACUUCUUUUAUAUGGGAAUAAAACGUUCCACGUGUGGGAUUUUGUAUGUACCAUAUGAAUAAGGAUCGGCUAACUCCGUGCCAGCAGCCGCGGUAAUACGGAGGAUCCGAGCGUUAUCCGGAUUUAUUGGGUUUAAAGGGAGCGUAGGUGGAUUGUUAAGUGAGUUGUGAAAGUUUGCGGCUCAACCGUAAAAUUGCAGUUGAAACUGGCAGUCUUGAGUACAGUAGAGGUGAGCGGAAUUCGUGGUGUAGCGGUGAAAUGCUUAGAUAUCACGCAGAACUCCGAUUGCGAAGGCAGUUCACUGGACUGCAACUGACACUGAGGCUCGAAAGUGUGGGUAUCAAACAGGAUUAGAUACCCCGGGUAGUC